rnacentral:rRNA from 1 species
AUUGAACGCUGGCGGCAUGCCUUACACAUGCAAGUCGAACGGCAGCACGGGAGCAAUCCUGGUGGCGAGUGGCGAACGGGUGAGUAAUAUAUCGGAACGUGCCCAGUCGUGGGGGAUAACGUAGCGAAAGCUACGCUAAUACCGCAUACGAUCUAUGGAUGAAAGCGGGGGAGUCGCAAGACCUCGCGCGAUUGGAGCGGCCGAUAUCAGAUUAGGUAGUUGGUGGGGUAAAAGCCUACCAAGCCUUCGAUCUGUAGCUGGUCUGAGAGGACGACCAGCCACACUGGAACUGAGACACGGUCCAGACUCCUACGGGAGGCAGCAGUGGGGAAUUUUGGACAAUGGGCGCAAGCCUGAUCCAGCAAUGCCGCGUGCAGGAUGAAGG